GGCUUUGGGAGUCUGACUCCAGAUCAGAAGGUUGCGUGUUCAAAUCACGUCGGGGUCA
rnacentral:tRNA from 1 species